UACGAGGGAUCCUAGCGUUGUUCGGAAUCAUUGGGCGUAAAGGGUGUGUAGGCGGCCAUGUAAGUCAGUUGUGAAAGCCCCGGGCUCAACCCGGGAAGUGCUUCUGAUACUGCUUGGCUUGAGUAUUGGAGAGGUGAGUGGAAUUCCAGGUGUAGUGGUGAAAUGCGUAGAUAUAGGAAGGAACACCAGUGGCGAAGGCGACCACCUGGACUGAUACUGACACUGAGGUGCGAAAGCGUGGGGAGCAAACAGG
rnacentral:rRNA from 1 species